GUAGGGAGGCUGUCCACGUCCUCAAUUAAAUCAACCAAUGAGGAGUUUCUGUUUUGCCACGUCAUCCCUAUCAAGCAUGAAUCCAAGUUUUUACGUAACCGAGCAUUCGUGGUGGGCUGAUACAAAAAGUCUAACUGACCCAAAUCAAGCCCAUCUCUUAACCCUAAAGGAUGCCGACGACAAUCAGUCGACUCUUCCAUUUCCUUAUCGUUUCAUCUAUCUGUAAAUUGACAUUAUCACCUCCACUCUUUGAUCGGUGUCUCUUUCGCAUCCAGUUGUUCCUAUUUCUAAUCGUUUUGAUGAUAUUAAUCGGUGGGGAUGUGUAUUCCAUAUCGGUGUGUUUUCUCUGAUCCCGACGUUUCAUCUGACUCGCUGAUGGCUCGAUCAUGGUAGGAAGGAUUGCUACAUCUCAAUAAGGAUAAAGUCAUUGUCCUUUAUGAGGGUUCAAUGCAUGAUAAUUUUGGAGACAAGGACUACGGUGAUUCAGAAGGAACAAUAACAAAGACACAUGAAUCUUGAUACUUUCAGAGUGAAGCAUAGCGUGAAGAUGCUAUAAGAAAUUAGGACAAGAGUCAAGGAAAGAGGAAGAAGAGGAUCAAGAGAUUGGAGCUAAUAAAGUGUUCAAGAAAGUGAGAGAAAAAUCUAAAAUCAGGAACAGUCUUACCAAACAUGGUCAUAGUCAUUACCACGAUCAUGAUCAUGAAGAAGAAUAUGACGAGAAAGAAACAGAAUGGCACAGUAAGCCAGGCGGUGUAACAGGUCAACCUGAGGCACUGAGUCAUUCCGGAGAAACUAAUUUUCGGCACAAGAGGAGAUCGUUCCACCAUGGACAAAAGUUUUUCAGUUUGUGUCUUCGGAUUAUACCAAAUCCAUUGAACUGGAGCCAUUACGAGAUGACGAGAUGAUGGAUACUUCGGAUUUGAUGAUACGCUGCCUCUUACAUCUUUCGCCAAUUCUUUGGAGUGUAACGUUUGAUGCAGGAAGAUUUAAUCUGUUCACCUAUUCUUUCAUUGGUAAUCAAGAAGCUCAUAUCCAGGUGUUCAAGUUUGAGAGUAGCCUUAGCUAUCUCAUGUUCUGCUUCAUCGAUGUCAUAGGAUGCCUGCUUAUAUAAUUCAUGGACGUGUGGAAGAAAAGCACGAAUCCGGUCGGUGCUUUGAAAUCAAGCAAGAGAAGCAAGGGCAAAACAACCAAGCAUCUCUGCAAUGAAUGACUCAGGGUUUAUGUUCGUAAAUGCUGCAAUCUUACUAUUGUGAUUAUAGAUUAUAAUUUUUUUUUUCAAACUGGAUAAUGGAACCAAGACCUAAUGUCAUACCAGAAACUAAAAUUUCUGUAACAGAUUCAUUCAAGUGAAUGUAGGAGCUUCGUCUAA